UGUGUGUGUGUGUGUGUGUGUGUGUGUGUGUGUGUGGCUUAAACAUGACUGGGCCAAAAAGAACUUGGCAGCAAGUAAAAGUCAAAUACAAGAACAUCUUGCAGAAUGCCGUCAAAAAGAGAGGCCAAAUACAAAGAACGGGUGGUGGGUCACCUCCCACCGCCCUCACCCCAGCCGAAGACAUGGCCUUAUCACAAAAUAAAGGCAGGCCAGUUUUGGAGGGGAUCCUUGGGGGGGACAGAAACAAAUGCAUGUCCCUCCCAAGAGGCUAACCGCUUCAUACAAGUUUCUGGCAGCACUAUCUCCUUGCUGGAGCCACCAAUGCCAGAUGAAGAUGAUGAUGAUGAUGAUGAUGAUCCAGUGAGUACACUGUAGGCCUGCCGUGUUCCCUGAUGACGACAGUGGUCGGCUGGUCAGGGACCAAUAUGUGUUGAAUUACUUUAGUUAACAUGCUUUAAAUUUCAGUUAUAUAUGGCCUGCAGUGGCAGAGACAUAUAUAUAUUCAAAUUUGAAUUAAUUUGACCUCUUAUAAUUGCACUGUAUAUUGUGUAUACAAGCUUGUAGGGAGGCUACUGCAUGUAUUAAUUUGUCUGUUCAUUUGUUGUGUAUGGAUUUGGCCUGCAUUUAUUUCAGUGUGCAGACAUUAUAUACAGACUGAUUGUGUAUGCAUUAUUUUGUUGUAUGCUUUUGAUUCCAUGCUUUCUAUCUUGUAGAGUCACUGUGUGGCUUCAGUUUUGAAAGGAGCUGAUGGUUUACCUGCUUUUAUAUAUCCUUAUUCAAUAAAGGAAGAUCAUGUCA